AUUGCUUGAACUAGGGAAGCAGAGGUUACAGUGAGCCAAGAUCAGGCCCCUGCACUUCUGCCUGGGCAACAGAGUGAGACUUCAUCUGAAAAGAGAGAGGGAGAGACAGAGUCUCCUUUGCUACUUCUUUGUCUUGGAAAAAUGCAAAAGUGGUACGUUUUUCUAUAGACUGCUACUGAAAUGACCAAUUUUCUGAAAGGGAGAGGGAAGAUGAUACACAAAAUUUUAAGAACAUAAAGCAGUUUUUCUCUACCCCUUUCUCUGACUUCUCUACAUUUGGUUCCGUAUUAGAUAUGGUCAUAUAUUCUGCUUUACAAAGUGUGGUUAUAUGUAGACAAUUCAAUUUGUCUUACAGAUAAUUCAAUUUAGCUUCUUUUUUUGACCAAAGAACAAGAUAUGGUUGGCAACCUCUUAGAUGACCUCCAAUGAUCUCUAUCCCUUAUAGAUUACACGCUUGUCUAUAAUCUUGUGUGUGUAUGUGUGUGUGUGUGUGAGCUGAACAUUUCAACUCACCUUUAAAAAACACUAUAUGGCAGAACUGAUGUGAUGGCACAUCUGAGGUUAUAGAAAAAAAAAACAACUGUGGCUUCUGUUUUGGGUGCUGAAUCUCAUGAUCUUUCUUGGAUGUCUUCAUAUGGGGGGAGGCCAGCUUCUAUGUCAUAAGGAAGCCAUGUGGAAAGGCACAAAUGGCAAAUAUCUGAGGCUUGCCAACAGCCAAAUGAGAGAGCUUGAAAACAGAUCCACUUCUAGUUGAGCCUUCAGAUGACUGCAGCCCAAACUGACAUGUUGAUUGCAGCUAUGUGAGAGACUGUGAACCAGAAUCACCCAGCGAAGCCACUCCUAGAUUCCUGACCCACAAAGACCAUGAGAUAAUAAAUGUUUGUUGUCCUCAGCCACUAAAUUUUGAAGUAAUUGGUUAUGCAGCAGUAGAUGGUUAAUACACCUGGUUUGGUGUAUUAAUCAGGGUAAUCAAGCUGGGUUAUAGAAGGAGUGUUUGAUAUGUAGGAAUGUUGUGAUUGAGAUAAUAAGCUGUUUUAUUUAUUGAAAAGUAAAAUAGUACAUUAACAAAAUCUUAUCUGAUAGAGAGAUAAUACCAGAAGUCUUCUUACUGUGAUUAUCAGCUAAGUGACUGGUUGAAGUCAGGAUAUAAAUCACUGGAUAGUUUUUUUUUUACUUAGAAAACAUCAAUAAGGCACUCUGUUAAAGAAAUUGAAAUGAGAUCUUGCCCUUUGGAGAAAGGGCAAGAUAAUUCCUGUAGCCACAGCUCUCAGUCAGACAGAAACAGAGUUUUGACAAUGGUGUUCCAGUGAGCCUGGCCCCAGAGCUCUCUUCAACUUGUCUCUUCCUUGACUUUGAGGAGAAGACUGGGCAUGAUUUAGAGGCUGGAGACUAACUGGACAAUGGGAAGAUGCAAAAAUUCAUGUCCUGGGCUCACCCUUUGACCUUGGGCCUUCCAGUUUCUCUUUGCCUCCCAUGUCUA